UGUUCUCCUUCACCAUCCGUUAGGGAGCUACACAGUGCUGCAUGUGGCGCUCACAGGGCGUGAUGCUUCUUUACCUAAAAAUGAAGUUUACUGCAGACGAACCACCUUAAAAAGGCAGCUUUUCCUCAUGCGGAAUGAAGCUAAUCUUCCUACAACAGAAUGAAGGGCUCACGCGGGUCCAUCGUGACGCUGGCUGACCAUGAGGCGGCCUGGUGAAAGGUCCUGCUCAGCAAUGAAAGACUAAGACGUUCCUGGUGCUGAGUUUCUUCCUCUUGAAAUGCUCACGCGGGUCAUCGUGACGCUGGCUGACCAUGAGGCGGCCUGGUGAAAGGUGCUGCUCAGCAAUGAAAGACUAAGACGUUCCUGGUGCUGAGUUUCUUCCUCUUCAAAGGCUCACGCGGGUCCAUCGUGACGCUGGCUGACCAUGAGGCGGCCAGGUGAAAGGUGCUGCUCAGCAAUGAAAGACUAAGAAGUUCCUGGUGCUGAGUUUCUUCCUCUUCAAAGGUUCAUGCGGGUCCUCGUGACGCUGGCUGACCAUGAGGCGGCCUGGUGAAAGGUCCUGCUCGGCAAUGACUAAACCGACCCUUUGGUGCGGAGAGAUGUUGUUCAGAUCAAAUAAUGGGGAAGCUGACACGGCUCGGGAUUCAUCCAGAAGGCGCCUUAGCUUUGUUGGUGUAGAAAAAAAACCACGUUUGCUCAAAAAUGUGUUUAAUAAAAUUGUUUGUAUAAAACAUUAAAGUACACAUAAAAUGUAACAUGGAUCUUACUGGGAGGGGCCCAGCAUGUAUUGGUCAAUCUGUGUUGAAGGGCGAUCUGUAAGAUUUCUUCUUUAAAUUCUCCAAGAACACCUGCUCCUCUUGGAGGUAUUCCCGGUCCUGUGGGGAGGGGGAGAAAGUCAUGGACAAUAAAAACCUCAAUAUCAA